ACGGAAGGCAGCAGUGAGGAAUAUUGGUCAAUGGACGCAGGUCUGAACCAGCCAAGUAGCGUGAAGGAUGACGGCCCUAUGGGUUGUAAACUUCUUUUACAGGGGAAUAAAGUCGCCCACGUGUGGGCGUUUGCAUGUACCCUGCGAAUAAGGAUCGGCUAAUUCCGUGCCAGCAGCCGCGGUAAUACGGAAGAUCCGAGCGUUAUCCGGAUUUAUUGGGUUUAAAGGGAGCGUAGGCGGGCUGAUAAGUCAGUGGUCAAAGCGUGUGGCUCAACCAUACCACGCCGUUGAAACUGUCAGCCUUGAGUGCACGCGAGGAUGGUGGAAUUCGUGGUGUAGCGGUGAAAUGCUUAGAUAUCACGAAGAACUCCGAUUGCGAAGGCAGCUGUCCGGAGUGCAACUGACGCUGAUGCUCGAAAGUGCGGGAAUCAAACAGGAUUAGAUACCCUGGUA
rnacentral:rRNA from 1 species